rnacentral:rRNA from 1 species
CGGAUGAGUGAGCGGAGUAUAGGGUCUGACGCCUGCCCGGUGCCGGAAGGUUAAGAGGGGAAGUGAAUAGCUUUGAAUCAAGGCCCCGGUGAACGGCGGCCGUAACAGUGAGGGCCCUAAGGAACCUAAAUCCCUUGUCGGUGAAUUUCCGACCCUUUCAAAUGGCGAAGCGAUUUCCCCGUUGUCUCACAAACCAACUCUAUGAAAUUGAACUCCCCGUGAAGAUGCGGGGUACCUGCGGAUAGACGAAAAAACCCCGUGCACCUUUACUGCUGUUUACAUUGGUAUUAAGAGUACGAUGUGCGGGAUAGUGGGAAGACUUUGAAGUUAUGACGCAAUUCUUGGUGAUCCUGCUGUAUAAAAUACCAACCUUUCUGCUUUUUGAUAUAUAACCUAGCUCUUUUCUUUGAUGCGUCUAAUCUGUAUGAAGGGUUGCGACCUCGAGGGCGGAAUUACUCCAUCUAUACAAUUGCAGAAUGUGUAUGGGAAGGCCUGUUCGACCUUUAUCAAUUUGUACGAGAUCUGAGUCUAAACCCUGCCUGACUGUAAG